ACUUUAUUAUUAUUAUUAUUAAAUAUUUCUCUUUUUUGGUACUAGGGAUUGGACCCUGGGGUGCUUAACCAGUGAGCCACAUUCCCAGCCCUUUUUAUUUUUUAAUAUUGAGACAGGGUCUUACUAAGUUGCUUAGGGUCAUGCUAAAUUGUUGAGGCUGGCUUUGAAUUUGUGAUCCUACUGCCCUCAGCAUCCUGAGCUGCUGGGAUUACAGGUGUGCCCCACCACGCCUGGCUCCACUUUUUUUUAAAGAAGGCAUCCAGGCACAAUGGCACACAUCUGUAAUCACAGUUCCUUGGGAGGUUGAGGCCGGAGGAUCACAAGUUCAAAGCCAGAAUGGACAAUUUAGCAAGAUCCUGUCUGGAAAAGGGUGGAGAUAUAGCUCAGGUAGAAUGCACCUAGGUUCAAACCCCUGUCUUGAGGAAAAACAAAACAAAGCAGUUUAAUUGAAGGGGUCAUGGCAGCAGGGCAGGGGUCUUCCAGUUAGGAGAAAUUGGACUCAGACUCUCUCAUUACACUUAUUUUUUAAUUUUAUGUUUAGAUGGGGUCUCCCUAUGUUGCCUAGGCUGGCCUUGACCUCCUGCCUCAGCCUCCCAAAUAGCUGGGUCUACAGAUGCACACAUACAGUGAGGUAAAGAACUCACUUUUUUCACCCCAGAUGAGGUAGGCAGAUUCCAAGUUCUAGGCCAUUCUAAGCAAUUUAGCAAGCCCUCAGCAACUAGGGAGAUCCUGUCCAAAAUAAAAAGGACUAGGUCAGGGAAAAAGGGCCCCUGGAUUCAAUCCCCAGUAACAAAAAAGCAAAACAAAUAAACAAACGAAAAACACACUUAGGCCAAGGAUACAAGGAUAUAGCUCAGAGAUCGAACACUUGCUCAGCAUUUACAAGGCCCUAGGUUUUUGUUUUUUAUUUAAACCCAGGGACACUUAACCACUGAAUGAUAUCCCCAACCCUCCCCCCACCCCUUUUUUAAAAUUUUGAAACAGGGUCUUCCUAAGUUGCUUAGGGCCUAGCUAAAUUGCUGAGGCUGGCCUUUAACUUGUGAUCCUGCUGCCUCUGGAGUCCUGGGAUUACAAGAAUAAGCCACCACACCCAGCUAGGAGGAGCUGGUUUUGAAAUUUUUGCCAUACAUUUUGUAAUGUACUGAGCUGGUUUUGACUCUCAGGUAUUUUGAUCUAGGAGACAAAAAGAGAGUUUCCCUCGGAAACAUUGCUUUCCUGUGCAUUUUAUUUUUGAAUCUUCUAUGCCUGACUAUCCUGCAUUUUCCAUUCCUUUGGUUGCUUGGAGCAGUUCCCACCCAUCUCCUGUCCUUGGUGGAAAUGGGAGGAGAGCAGACAGCUGGGCUGCUGUACUGGAGCAGCUGCGGAGUUUCACUGCUUUGUUACUGAAAUUUCCUGAGGGCAAGAUAUCUUGUUUAUUUCCUGUUGACCCUGAGAGCCCAGAUCUAAGGAAAGGUGGGGCACACCUCAGGUGAAGAGAUAUUGUAAGGGUGUUUUCUUACUCUGUGAAGUUUUGGAAUCAUACUAAAUGCUUAAGUAGAAAACUCCUUUCCUCUCCCCCCACUCCUCUUCAUGAUUAAAAAAAAAAAAAAACUGCAAAGGCUGUGAGAAGUGAGAAAUUUCUCAUUUCUCAGAAAUCCCUCAUGAGGCAGAGAAGAGAAACGGGGAAACAACUUUGUGUUGAAAUGCAGUUUUUUUUUGUGUGUGUGCACGCACGCGCACACAAGUGCAUGUUUUGAAAUGAUACAGCUUGCUUUCGGUUUGUUUUGUGUUGCUGGAGAUUGGACUCAUGACCUUGUGCAUGCCAAGCACAUACUCUCCCGUUGAGCCACACCCCCAGCCCUUGUUGUCAGUUGUAAGAGACAACAAACAGUACUAUGCAGGAGCUUGGUAAUAGUGAUGAGGAGCCCGUGGUUGCCUGCUGCUUUAACCCUUACCCCCACCUCAAAGUUUGGUGGUUGGAGCCAGAUCUGAAACAGGAUGGAGGUCUUCUACCUUCCUUUCCCUGUUAUGAGUUAUGAAGCACAUAUCAGUGCAUAAACUAGUAAUAUAGAAUAAGGAUUUGGUAAGAAGUCUCAAGUAAAGAUUAUUUUUAGAAGAAAUGCAGUUGCAUUGCUUUCAAGUACACAACAUAAACACUACUUUGAGUUUGUCCUAGAAAAAAAAUCUGUUAACUAGGAUUGAUUUUUUUUCUUUCAUUCCCUCCUUCUCUUCCUCCUCCUCCUCCUUUUUUUAGACAGGGUCUCACUUAAGUUGAGGUCUUGAUAAAUUGCUGGCCUCAAACUGAUCCUCCUGCCUCAGCCUUCCAUCUCAGAUUAUAGGAAUGUGCCACCUUAACCUGUGCAUUUAUUAAUUCUUAUUCCUUACAAGUCUACAAAAUCCUGUUUGGUUGGGUGUGGUGGCAUACACCUGUUAUUCCCAGUGAUCUAGGAAGCUGAGGUAGGACUUGGCAACUUAGCAAAAACCUGUAUCAAAAGAAAAAAUAAAUAGGGUUGGGAUAUAGCUCAGUAGUAGAGUACUCUGGUUCCAUCUCCAAACUAGAAAAAAAAAUUUUUUUUCUAAAGAAUAUUCAUGACACCUUGAAAUGGUAUAAAAUUAAAAUUUCAGGGCUGGGGAUGUGGCUCAACCGGUAGCGCGCUCGCCUGGCAUGUAUGCGGCCCGGGUUUCGAUCCUCAGCACCACAUACAAACAAAGAUGUUGUGUCCGCCGAAAACUAAAAAAUAAAUAUUAAAAAAAAAAAAUUUCAGUGUGGAGGCUGGGGUUGUGGCUCAGUGGUAGAGCACUUGCUUAGCACAUGUGAGGCACUGGGUUCAAUCCUCAGUACCACAUAAAAAUAAAUAAAUAAAAAUAAAGGUAUUGUGUCCAUCUACAACUAAAAAUAUAUUUUUUUAAAUUUCAGUGUCAUAAAUAAAGUCUGCUUGGAACCAGCAUGUCUAUUUGUCUACUUAUCAUCCAUCUGUGGCUACUUUUGUACUGCAACAAACAGAGGAGAGUAGUUGCAACAGAGAGAUGACCUGUAAAGCCUAAGAUAUUGACCAUCUAGUUCUGUAAAGAAAAAUGUUGCUCAACCCUGAACUAGAGCUGAGGAGUCUCAUUUUGUGAUGAAAGAGGCAGGCAACCUGUAAUCCCAGCUGCUUGGGAGGCUGAUGCAGGAGGAUUGCAAGUCCCAAGUCAGCCUCAGCAGUUUAUCAAGGCCCUAAGCAACUCAGUGAGACCCUGUCUCUAAAUAAAAUACAAAACAGGGCUGGGGAUGUGGCUCAGUGGUUAAGUGCCCCUGGGUUCUAUCCCCAGUAUCAAAAAAGAAGAAGAGAACUAGCAACCUAGCUCCUGGGGCAGGGGGGACUCUGCUCCCAUUAGUGGGCAGGCCCUGGCUACCUGCUUGUUAGCCCAGAAUCUCAAGGAUAAACAGUAUGCUCCUUUUUAUAGUCACCCCAAUCCUCAUUUCUCCACCUUUUUUCCCUUUUCACUCAAAGUUCUGUUGAACUCUUUUAAGGGAUUCAGGCAAGGCUCAGAAAAGUACCACAUACAAUUCCAACUUGGGACCUUUUUCAAACUACUGGGGCUCUUCCUCAGGCCACUGCAGCACUGCUCUCUGUCUUGUUUCUGUACCUCCCUUUCAAUUGAGGUGACAUGUUCCCUAGGAGCUGAUUGUCAUGUCUCAUAUUUUGGAUUAGCCUUGGACAUUUCCUUCUCGAAUCUACCCACCUUUAAACCUCAGCCCUGAAAUACCUUCCUCUUGAGUUGUCACCCACCUCCUAGGUCAAGGAACCCAAGAUCAGUUUGGUGAUUGUUGCCAGUUAUGCUGAGUUAACUCAAAACUGUUUCUCUUGUUGACAGGCAUAGACUUAGGUACUUUCCUGAGACUUUCUACUUCCUGUAUAAAGGAGGAGUCUCUCACCUCUUCAUCACUUGCCUGUGACAAAUAAACCCCUCAUGCUUUAACUUCCCCCACCCAGCUGCCUCUCAGCAGCAGAGAUGAUGGAUUUGAAGGGUAUUUUUUUUGGGGGGGGUACCAGGGGCACUCGACCACUGAGCCACAUCUCCAACCCCAUUUUUGUAUUUUAUUUAGAGACAGGGUCUCAUUAAGUUGCUUAGCACCUCACCAUUGCUGAGGCUGGUUUUGAACUCAUGAUACUCCUGCCUCAGCCCCCAGAGCCGCUGGGAUUAAAGGCGUGUGCCAGUGCCCCCUGUUUGAGGGGUAUUUUGGGAAGAGAGGAAAUAAGAAGCCUAUACCUACUACAUCUUAUCGCCCCAAACCAUAAUCUACUCUAGCAAGAUGCUCCAUGGUUCAAUUUACUGUGGUGGGAGAGGAUGUUAAGAUGGGAUCUGUUACACUGGGGAGAAGGGGAAAGCAAGAAAUUAAAAAGAAUCUGCUGGAGAGGAUCUGCAUUUUGUUCUCUGGCCCUCGGCUGGCAAUGUCUACCUAGAUCCUCAACCUUACUUCUCAUACGUGUUUUCUGAAAGAAAAAAACAUGACUUAAGGGGCUGGGGAUGUGGCUCAAGCGGUAGCGCGCUCGCCUGGCAUGCGCGCGGCCCGGGUUCGAUCCUCAGCACCACAUACAAACAAAGAUGUUGUGUCAGCCAAGAACUGAAAAAAUAAAUAUUAAAAAAAAAAUUCUCUCUCUCUCCCUCUCUCUUUAAAAAAAAAAAAAAAAAAAAAAAAAAACAUGACUUAAGACUGAGACACUCUUGAACUAACUGGGCCAGCAGCCUGGUUCUUGUGCUUUUCACUCCCAGUUAUCAGAGAGGCUGAACCUGAAAGAGUGGAGGGGAAGGGAAUCAGGCCACCCCUGCAGCUGUGAGCACCUGCUUGCAAGGGAGGCAAGACUAGGGGGUUGGGGAAGUCUAGGAGCUAAAUUUAGUCCAAAGUCUGCAGCUUAAAUUGGGUGGGUAUUUACCCGCUGGCAGGGGGAAGGGAGAGGAAU
rnacentral:lncRNA from 1 species